rnacentral:rRNA from 1 species
CCCAGGGCCAUGGAAUUGAGAAUUUUGAAAAUGACACUAUCAGCAAUAGAUGGAUAACAAGAUACAGAGACAUACCUCACUGAAAGUUGAUAACCGGUCUGCAAUUAAGAGCGGAUGUCUACCCCACAAGAGAGUUCCUGGCCAGGGGUAGGAGGGAUGGUUACAUAAGGUCUUGCAGACAUUGUGAUGCCGAUCACAAAUCAACAGCUCAUAUAAUCGGGACCUGUCCAAUCACUCAGGAUGCCAGGAUUAAAAGACACAAUUCCAUUUGUGAAACCCUCUGUAAUGAACCUAGAAAGGAAGACGGACUGUGUUCCAGGAGCCACACAUCUGGGAUGAGAUUAAUGAAUUAUAUAAGCCAGACUUAAUCUUUGUAAAAGGUAGCAAGGCAGUUGUGGUGGACAUGACUGUGAGGUAUGAGCAUAACAACUCCUCUUUGAAAAAAGUUGCUACAGAAAAGGUGAAUAAAUAUCAACGCCUUUUACCACAAAUUAGAGAUCUAACCAAUGUGGCAGAUAUAGAGUUUAUAGGCUUUCCCAUUGGGGCACAGGGGAAGUGGUAUGCAAAAAACUCUGAAUUGCUACUGGCUCUCGGUCUCUCUAAAAUGACGCUAGAGGAGACUGCCCAGGCCCUAACAUCCAGAGUGCUCCUUUCUUCUGUUGAUAUUGUACACAUUUUCACCAGUAAAGCUCGUUCUGUUGUACCGGUUAAAUAAAUUAAUGGGCCUCUUCCCACCUGUUGGUUGAGUUGGACAGUGGAAUCGGUUAUGGGUGGGAGGGGUUCAUCCUUCAUAACAGCGUCUUUCCAUCACCCAGAUUUGGGCUUCAAAUUCUAAUCUGGACCAUAGGUGGACGGGCCAUCUCUACUUAACCUGGAAAAGAAACAUAUAAUUUUUAUAUGUUUAUUAAAUAGCCAAAUGCCUCGUCAUCUAAUUUGUGACAUGCAUGAACGGAUGAAUGAGAUUCCCACUGUCCCUGCCUACUAUCCAGCGAAACCACAGCCAAGGGAACGGGCUUGGCDGAAUCAGCGGGGAAAGAAGACCUUGUUGAACUUGACUCUAGUCUGGAGCUGUGAGGAGACAUGAGAGGUGUAGAAUAAGUGGGAGGCCAGGGGCGCGUCCCAGCAGUCAGUGAAAUACCACUACUCUGAUGGUUUUUUCACUUACCUGGUGAGGUGGGGGGGGGCAAGCCCCGAGGGGACCUCUCGCUUCUGGCGCCAAGUGGCCGGCAUGCACAGGCCGCGACCCGCUCCGGGGACAAUGGCAGGUGGGGAGUUUGACUGGGGCGGUACACCUGUCAAAGCGUAACGCAGGUGUCCUAAGGCGAGCUCAGGGAGGACGGAAAUCUCCCGCUGAGCAGAAGGGCAAAAGCUCACUUGAUCUUGAUUUUUAGCACGAAUACAGACCGUGAAAGCCGGGCCUCACGAUCCUUCUGGCUUUUUGGGUUUUAAGCAGGAGGUGUCAGAAAAGUUACCACAGGGAUAACUGGCUUGUGGCGGCCAAGCAUUCACAGUGACAUCGGUUUUUGAUCCUUUGAUGUCGGCUCUUCCUGUCUCUGUGAAGCAGAAUUCGCCAAGCGUUGGAUUUUUCACUCACUAAUAGAGAAUAUGAGCUGGGUUUAGACUGUCGUGAGACAAGUUAGUUUUACCCUACUGAUGAUGUGUUGUUGCAAUAGUAAUCCUGCUCAGUACRAGAGGAACCGCAGGUUCAGACCCCUGGUGUGUGCGCUUGGCUGAGGAACCACUGGGGCGAGGCUACCAUCUGCAGGCUUAUGACUGAACGCCUCUAAGUCAGAAUCCCGCCUAGACGUAGCGAUACCGCAGCGCCGCCUUUGCCUUGGUGGGCUUGUGAUAACCGCCCACCCACCCGUCUGUGGGCGGGCCCAGUGCAGAGCACCACUCGUGGUAGGGAGUGGAGGGGCAGACGGAUGCAGCGCUGCCUCUCCCCCAUCUCGUACCGCAUGAUCGUGGGGACCCAGUGCUAAAUCAUUCGUAGAUGACCUGAUUCUGGGCCAGGGUUUCGUACAUAGCAGAGCAGCUCACUCGCUGUGAUCUACUGAGAAUCAGCCCU